rnacentral:rRNA from 1 species
CCUACGGGGGGCAGCAGUGAGGAAUAUUGGUCAAUGGUCGGGAGACUGAACCAGCCAAGCCGCGUGAGGGAUGAAGGUACAGAGUAUCGUAAACCUCUUUUGUCAGGGAACAAAGGCGUGGACGUGUCCCCGGAUGAGUGUACCUGAAGAAAAAGCAUCGGCUAACUCCGUGCCAGCAGCCGCGGUAAUACGGAGGAUUCGAGCGUUAUCCGGAUUUAUUGGGUUUAAAGGGUGCGGAGGCGGUCUGUUAAGUCAGCGGUGAAAGCCCGGGGCUCAACCCCGAGCCGGCCGUUGAAACUGGCAGUCUCGAGUUGGAGAGAAGUAUGCGGAAUGCGCGGUGUAGCGGUGAAAUGCAUAGAUAUCGCGAAGAACUCCGAUUGCGAAGGCAGCAUGCCGGCCCCACACUGACGCUGAGGCACGAAAGCGUGGGUAUCGAACAGGAUUAGAUACCCGAGUAGUC